AUGCCAAAUCCUCAGAAUAUCCUGCUGUCUGAGAGUUUCAUUAAAUUUGGACUUUGUGUCGAGAGGAUUUUGAUUAAUAUACUAGUGAAACAAUUUGAAUCAAAAUGUUGUUAUGAGCAUAAGAAGAGUCUUUUUCUCCGGAGAAACACGUGAAAGCUGGAGACUUCAGCAAACUCUGUUGAAUCUAGAAGCAACUGAAACCUUGAGGAGAUCUGGUGUGUGUUUUCUUUCUCCCUGACAGAUGCAGAGAAGGAGAGAUGAGAGGAACUGGAGCCGCUCGCAGAGGUCUGGGUGAAGUUCAUGACUCUCAGUGAUAUACGUUCAUCAGGGGAGCGUCGUUCCCAUCAUCCUCGUCUCUGCGCUUCCUCUUUGUUCUGCAUCUGCUGAGCUGUGCGUGCCAGAUAUCUGACAUUUACACAAACGCUCUGAGGAUCGGCUGAGGUCACUGACUCAUGUUACAGUCAGCGCUGCAGUGAUGACAAACAAGCCUAAUCCGCCUGAUUGACAUCUCAGUCUAAAUUGACUUGGAAUAACGGAGGAAAAUUCCAGAUGUUCAGUGCUGAAGGCCUGGAUCUGUCAGUGUGUUUGGUGGCAGUGAUGUUGCAAUGAAGUGGCUGCGGGCUCCGGAGCCAAAUCAUACGGACCCAAACCGCCCGACACACGACAAACAACACCAUCAUGAGCUCCUCAAAGCUGAAGAUGCCCAGAAAUGUGACAGCAUUCACAGACGAGCUUUAUGAUGCUGGAGAGAGAGCUGUCCAUCAGUCACAUUCUUCUGCGUCUGCUGCUUCAUGCAGCGUCUAAACAAUGCCAUCUUUGCCUAAAGAACUCCCACAUACCUGGACUGAUUGAAGCACCGAUCAACGUCCAUCAGAAGAGAUGCUUUACAUUGGACCUCUGUAUCUUAUUCUGGGUACUCAGAAUAAAAAAUUGAGCUUAAUUUUUUUUUUUUUUUAAUUUUUUUUUUUUUUUUUUAAAUGUAUUAGUUUUAUAUGUAGGUGAUGAUAUUUGAUAAAGCUCAAUUUCAGCCAACCCAUAAUGAAAAAUUAAAUAUUUAUAUUUAAAUAUAUUUUUUUUUAAUUAUUGUUAGAAUUUUA
ensembl:lncRNA